UGUUGCUAUGCAGUAAUGUGUUGUUGGUGGUUUCCAAGGUGUUGCUAUGCAGUAAUGUGUUGUUGGUGGUUUCCAAGGUGUUGCUAUGCAGUAAUGUGUUGUGGGUGGUUUCCAAGGUGUUGCUAUGCAGUAAUGUGUUGUGGGUGGUUUCCAAGGUGUUGCUAUGCAGUAAUGUGUUGUGGGUGGUUUCCAAGGUGUUGCUAUGCAGUAAUGUGUUGUGGGUGGUUUCCAAGGUGUUGCUAUGCAGUAAUGUGUUGUGGGUGGUUUCCAAGGUGUUGCUAUGCAGUUAUGUGUUGUGGGUGGUUUCCAAGGUGUUGCUAUGCAGUAAUGUGUUGUGGGUAGUUUCCAAGGUGUUGCUAUGCAGUAAUGUGUUGUGGGUGGUUUCCAAGGUGUUGCUAUGCAGUUAUGUGUUGUGGGUGGUUUCCAAGUUGUUGCUAUGAAGUAAUGUGUUGUGGGUGGUUUCCAAGGUGUUGCU